rnacentral:rRNA from 1 species
UUGCAACCAUGUUUGGCCAAUACCCAAACAUCGAAAGUUGAUAGGGAAGAAAUUUGAAUGAACCAUCGCCGGCACAAGGCCAUGCGAUUCGAGGAGUUAUCAUGAAUCACCAGUGAGCCCCGAAGGGCAUUGGUUUUUAAUCUAAUAAAUACAUCCCUUCCGAAGUCGGGAUUUUUAGCAUGUAUUAGCUCUAGAAUUACCACGGUUAUCCAAGUAGUAAGGUACUAUCAAAUAAACGAUAACUUAUAUAAUGAGCCAUUCGCAGUUUCGCGGUAUAAUUGCUUAUACUUAGACAUGCAUGGCUUAAUCUUUGAGACAAGCAUAUGACUACUGGCAGAAUCAACCAGGUAA